rnacentral:lncRNA from 1 species
CUGGGGUUUACUGCACCUGACCAAUCAGUGGAACACUUCAUGCUGCCCAGGAAUCCUGUGCAUCCUGACCUUGGGCCAUUUCCCUGAGCAAACUGCGUGGCGAGAUGCACGGCCUGAGCCCUGGGGCCACCCCUAGGUGCAGUGCGGUAGGUCUCCACUUUCGUCUGGCAUCACCGUGCUGAGUGGAGCCUUCCCAUGGACCAGAUCCAGACCUUCCCCUCCCCUGUCAGCUGGUUUAGAGGUCGCACCCCAUGCCCAGUGAGUUCAUAGGUGUGAGUCGAGGGAGGUGCGCUGACUCAGUGUCAGACUGUGACGGUCGUGUUUGGCUCACCACUUUGUACAGCUUGCCUGUGUUUAAUACCCUUUUGUGUCUGACCCUGGAUGCCCGCAGCAUGAUGUGUGGCUAGUACCCAACUUGCCUGACUUGCUGCCUCAGAGAACACCCAGUGUGGUUAGGCAGCUUGUGUGGCAGUCACCCGAUGCUCCCUGAUCAGAGGCCGAGUUUCUGCAUGGCUCACGUUGCAGGAGCUGAUUUUUGAAUAAAGGGUGUUUGUUUGCAGCAGACAGCAUGGCUCGUUGCACACCUUAGGAGCCUGUGCUGUAGCUCCUGGUGGGACUGUGCUGCUGUGAAAUACCACGGAUACAGCUGGCAUCCUGGGAUCUGCUGAACCAACUGGCAGAGACGACUGCCCCAUCUCCUGGGACUCUGGCAGAGCAUUCUCCUACUCCAGAUCCUACUUAAAAAUCACUUGUCAAGUGGACCAGAGCAGCAUUCUGAGUGCAGCACAUGCUGCUUCAGAACCUGAAAAGGCUUUCCGAGCACGGUGCUUAUGUUAGUGGUUGAAGGCGUGAGGUGUGCAAACGUACCUGAGACCGCUGGGCCAGUGUGACGGACCCUGGGAUCUUGGUGGUUUAUCUUCCGUCUUCUUCAGGACAGCUGUGGACUAUCGUGAUGUUUUGUGAGAUGUCCAGAUGUUCAAGGUUCCCUUGGACUGUAGUGUGACGGAGAACAGGAGAACUGACCCGGCCUUUGGGGAAAGACUGUGGAUGUGCGCUGUCAUCUGCCCAGUUCAGUCGCUCAGUCAUGUCCGGCUCUGUGAGCCCAUGUCGUCUACCCACCCCAGACCCCAGGCGUCUUCUGGAAGAGAGAUGUGUGGAGACAGCAGUCUCCUCUCCCGUCCCCAGCUCUGCUGUAGGCUCAUCCCGAGUCUUCUUGGCGUCUCAGUUUCCCAUCCAGGCGACCUGAGGCUUUAUCUGAAAGGUCUGGAGCUGGGGCACCCUCCAAUCACAAUCACAACGGCCUUCCCAGGACUGCACAAUGCUGUGCUUCCAAGACGGUUAUCAGUUGAGAUCAUCUUGAUGAGACAGAUCAUCAGCUUACUUCUUGGUGAGAGAAACGCCUCAUUUUUAAAAGAUCCCAGGCUUCAUCCUCUAUCUCACCAUCCUGUCUCUGAGAACUGAUGCUCUGCCUGCAGUGACUGAGACUGAAAUGGGGCAUCUUCACUCUCACCUCUUCCCUGCAUCUGCCUCUGUGUGUGUGAAGUCGCUCAGUCAUGUCCGACUCUUUGCGACCCCGUGGACUAUAGCCCGCCAGGCUCCUCUGUCCAUGGGAUUCUCCAGGUAAGAUUACUGGACUGGGUUGCCAUUUCCUUCUCCAGGGGAUCUUCCCAACCCAGGGAUCGAACCUUGGUCUCCUGCAUUGCAGGCACACGCUUUAUCCUCUGAGCCACCAGGGAUCAGUCUCUUUAGGGAGAGAUGCCUGUUCAUACCUGCAGUGGGGCCCAAAGACAGAGGAGUUGCCAGCCUUCAGGAGCUCUGUUGAGGCCCUCAUUCAUGCGGACUACGGUACAGGCUACCCUAGCACCGGCCAGCCUGGUUGAACGUUCCCCACUCCACCCUGCCAGACAGAGGCCCAAGAGAGCAGGGGCUGGAGCUCAGAGGAGCUGGGAUGAAGCACCCAGCAGACACUCCUCACGUGGGUUGCUUCAAAGGUUGCCUUGAAGUCAGGGAGCUUGGUCACUGAAAGGAGACGGGAGAGAGCAUGUUGAGAGAGCUUAGGUUUUGAGGCCAGAUGGGGUUUGCUGGAGAAUGACUAUCCAGCUGAAUCCUGUGAAUCUGUGCAGGGAAGUUCCUACAGGUUGGCAAAGCAGCUUGGGGGUAUUCAAGGACAUCAUCCUCUUGACCUUGGGAGACCACUAGGGGCUGUGAGCAGGGCUUGGACUGAGGAAAUAUAGGCUGCCUCUUGAUGGUGGACCAUCUAAUUCCUUUUGGAUGUUGACCCCAAACAGAUACUGCAAUUCCAUCAGCAAUUGUGAGGGGGGCGCCCAGGCCAGACUCCCAAGAGUGUGCCUGGAACCAAGUGCAAUUCCUGUGCAACGAACCCAAUCCUGAAAUGGGACUCAGCUUCUCUAAGUCCAGUUGCCCUUGGACUCUGCUUGUUUCUUACUGGGAAAGAGUGCUUUCGGUGGCACCACCAACCUUGAGCUAGCUAUUUAAUUUCACUGAGCUGCAGGUUUCUUCUUGAAAGUGGGACUAAUGAUACCUCCUUGCAGGGUUAUGAGCGUAGUGAAGGGGUACAGUGCAAGGCCUGUAGUAAAUUUUCAAUUGGAUACCAGACCCUCACCUUACCUGACCCUUUCAAAUCAAGAUUAUUCAUUGUGUGACCUUAACUCAUUCAGCAAACCAUUCAAAAUGCCUCACUUCAAUAAAAAAAACAAAACAAAACAGGUGAUUGCCCGCCUGAGUAGUUGCAUUAGCCUGUUAUUCUGUCAUUUUUUCCCAAUA